ensembl:lncRNA MIR124-2HG MIR124-2 host gene
GAGAACGCAGAGGGAGGGAGGCAGGGAGGGAGACCAAACCCCCGCUUUACUGCGUUGAAAGCUUCUGAAUUUCAAGCAGAAAGUAGAAGGAGCUCCAAAGGCAGUGAGCGUCUUUCCUUGGGCUGCGUGUGCCGAGCGUAGACAAUGAAAAUCUUCAUCCCCCUCCCCCAUUCUACUAGGCUACAAGAUUCUUGUUUUCGUUCCUUCUCACCGGUGGAAGAUGUGUAAAAUCAAAGAUGUAGAGGUGUGUAGUGAUUUUUUUAAAAGCCAACUAACCACCGCACGGACUGCGACGCGGAUUACCCGAGCGCACGCCGGCUGGGCGCAUUCUGGGGUCUCUGCGCAAGACCAGCUCUCAGCUCUCUCUCCUUUCCUCGGACUCUGGAGCGGGAGCGGGCCUUUCCCUCGGGUCGACCACGCCGUAGGGGACGCCGUGAAAAGAGCCGUCGCGCCCGCUGCCUCCUGCCCGCUGCGCAGAGGGCUCCGCCCGUAGAGUAUUCAUCCAAUUGCGCUGAUCUCCUGCAUCCACAUCUUGCGUAAUCCACAAAGCAGCUAUGGUCCAGGGCUGCAAAAUCGUCCUGCCUGAUUCCUUUAGAAUUCAUACUACCUCAGAGGAGCAAACCUAAUCCCCUCAGCCUAAUCCUACCUGUUUAGGAUCAUCUAAACUUGUCCUUCAGAAAGCUUGAUCAGUUUAAAAUUGCUUUCUAAAUAGAAAUGAAAUACGUGAUAUGAGAGAGGUUAAAAUACUGCUUAAAAAGGGAAACACUCAAUUUAGUAAUUCGGUUGCCUAGAUGAAAUCGAGUGGCUAUUGAUCCGUGAUGUUUCUAGAUUUUUAAGACUAUGUACUUCCUAUUUCUUUGGAAAAUAAUCAUCCAGUUUGAUGCCCAUUACAAAUUUUCCUGCUAUGAAAGAAAUUCUAUGCGCGGCAGUUUUGCAAUAAAACAACCCGGGCUUCGCAAUGGGAGAACUUCGGUGCGGCGUGCCGUGAGAGUCCUUUGACAAUCUCAGCUUUCAUCUAGGUCUGAAAUUAAAGCUUCUCGGAAUAAUUUAGGAACAGCUUGACCCGUUGAGAUACUCAAGGACAACCCUCCAGGGAAAUAGUAUGUUUCCUUCCUGGGAACAAGAUGCUAGCGCGGUGCACCGGGAGGUAUCUGGUGUCAACAAUGCCAGAGCGCCCUCUGCUGCCUCAAAGAGGCAGGACACCAGUUACAAAAGCCAGAUGGCACAGUGGCAAUAAGCGGAGGAAACAUUAAGCUCUUAGAAACGUUUAAUCUGUGAAAUUUAAAAGCUCUCAUCAUAUUCUACUUUUGAAAGGGCCACCUGAUUUUGAUUUUGAGCACUCCUUGGAUGUUAUCUUCUAUUCUGGAGGAUAAUGAAAAGUCCGUGUUUUGAAGUUUUCAGAUUAUUUCUGUAGUUAUAUUUCUCCACUCUUUCUCGAAUUUUAUAUGGAAAUACGAAAUUGCAAAUCUAAGUGAAAAACCUUUGUGUAAAACAGGUGAGUGGAGAAGACGUCCUGGUUUCUCCAAAUAACUAAGAUCUAAUAAAGAAACAAAUCUUAAUUAAAAUAAAGAUACCGAGCACAUGUUGUUGUGUUAGUUUAAAACGAUAAUAAAAAGAAAGAAAUUAAGUCUCGAUGUAAAUCAUUGUUUUGUUGUUUUGUUUCAGUGAUUAACCCAAAUUUUGACCAGACUUGAAGUUUUGAAAUAAGAAAGUGAAUUAUUUUAAAGAAGAAGAAAAAUUUGCUUCUUAUUAAUAUGUACAAUAUUUUUGCCCUUAAAACCUUUGCAAUACAUUUAUACACACACACUCAGCUUGCAAAGCCUUCUUUAGAAAAUAACCCACUCUGAGUAGAAGUAAUGAGAUAUGGUAGCAGCAUGGGCAAAGCCAUAAGAAACGUUAUUUGCAUUAAAAAUGAGUUUUUCAGUAUGGAAAAUCAAUUACCAAAUGAAAUAGAGAUUUUUUUUAAAGGUUCAAACCUUUUCAAAUUUUUAUGUUAUAGGGUUUAUAUUGAUUAAAAUAAAUGUACGUUUGUAGUUAUUCAACAUUAUGAAUUUCAAGAUGGCCACCUAUUUUGAAACGCACACCUUUGCCAUGAAGUCUGUUGUUGCAUAUAUUAGUGCUGAUGUAAUAAAAUGCUUCUAUUAACUAUGUGGUUGUUAAUAAAUCUUGUAAAAAUAAA